AGGGUUUGCUGGAGUGUUUCAUGAUCUUCUGCGGCCUGCAGCUAUCUGCUCCUCCUCCAGUGAAGCUCCUCCCACAACAAGCACACCUUCAGUGAAGCUCCUCCCACAACAAGCACAUCUUCAGUGAAGCUCCUCCCACAAUAAGCACACCUUCAGUGAAGCUCCUCCCACAACAAGCACAUCUUCAGUGAAGCUCCUCCCACAAUAAGCACACCUUCAGUGAAGCUCCUCCCACUGCAGUUCAGCAAUAAAUGCUGGAAUAUUCCCAUCAGUCUACAAGUGAAGACGAGCAUCAGAGCAUCAGGAAGAAGUGAAAUCUGCAGAGACAGAGUUUAUUGAAGGACAGAGAGAACAUGAGAGAUCCAGAACCCUGCAGAAUGAAACACACUGAAGAACAAACAGACAAGGCUUAAAUUACUGAAAAGAAGAAAAGACAAGAAAAGGUUCACCUGCACUCAGUGUGGAAAGAGUUUCACAUACAAACAGCAUCUCAGUGCUCACAUGAGGAUCCACACUGGAGAGAAACCGUUCACAUGUG